rnacentral:rRNA from 1 species
GUAAGGAAUAUUGGACAAUGGACGCAAGUCUGAUCCAGCCAUGCCGCGUGAAGGAUUAAGGUCCUCUGGAUUGUAAACUUCUUUUAUAAGGGACGAAAAAAGGCUUUUCUAAGUCGUCUGACGGUACCUUAUGAAUAAGCACCGGCUAACUCCGUGCCAGCAGCCGCGGUAAUACGGAGGGUGCAAGCGUUAUCCGGAUUCACUGGGUUUAAAGGGUGCGUAGGCGGGCAGGUAAGUCAGUGGUGAAAUCCUAGAGCUUAACUCUAGAACUGCCAUUGAUACUAUCUGUCUUGAAUGUUGUGGAGGUAAGCGGAAUAUGUCAUGUAGCGGUGAAAUGCUUAGAUAUGACAUAGAACACCUAUUGCGAAGGCAGCUUACUACGCAUAUAUUGACGCUGAGGCACGAAAGCGUGGGGAUCAAACAGGAUUAGAUACCCUGGUAGUCC